GAUGAACGCUGGCGGCGUGCCUAAUACAUGCAAGUCGAGCGAACAGACGAGGAGCUUGCUCCUCUGACGUUAGCGGCGGACGGGUGAGUAACACGUGGAUAACCUACCUAUAAGACUGGGAUAAAUUCGGGAAACCGGAGCGAAUACCGGAUAACAGGUUGAACCGCAUGGUUCAACAGUGAAAGACGGUCUUGCUGUCACUUAUAGAUGGAUCCGCGCCGCAUUAGCUAGUUGGUAAGGUAACGGCUUACCAAGGCAACGAUGCGUAGCCGACCUGAGAGGGUGAUCGGCCACACUGGACCUGAGCCCCGGUCCAGCCUCCUACGGGAGGCAGCAGUAGGGAAUCUUCCGCAAUGGGCGAAAGCCUGCCGGAGCAACGCCGCGUGAGUGAAGAAGGUCUUCGGAUCUUAAAACUCUGUUAUUAGGGAAGAACAAAUGUGUAAGUAACUAUGCACGUCUUGACGGUACCUAAUCAGAAAGCCACGGCUAACUACGUG
rnacentral:rRNA from 1 species